GUGCUUAACACAUGCAAGUCGAACGGAAAGGCCCUGCUUGCAGGGUACUCGAGUGGCGAACGGGUGAGUAACACGUGGGUGAUCUGCCCUGCACUUCGGGAUAAGCCUGGGAAACUGGGUCUAAUACCGGAUAGGACCAUCGUUUAGUGUCGGUGGUGGAAAGUUUUUCGGUGCAGGAUGAGCUCGCGGCCUAUCAGCUUGUUGGUGGGGUAAUGGCCUACCAAGGCGUCGACGGGUAGCCGGCCUGAGAGGGUGGACGGCCACAUUGGGACUGAGACACGGCCCAGACUCCUACGGGAGGCAGCAGUGGGGAAUAUUGCACAAUGGGCGCAAGCCUGAUGCAGCGACGCCGCGUGGGGGAUGAAGGCCUUCGGGUUGUAAACUCCUUUCAACCAUGACGAAGCAUUAUGUGACGGUAGUGGUAGAAGAAGCACCGGCUAACUACGUGCCAGCAGCCGCGGUAAUACGUAGGGUGCGAGCGUUGUCCGGAAUUACUGGGCGUAAAGAGCUCGUAGGUGGUUUGUCGCGUCGUCUGUGAAAUUCCGGGGCUUAACUCCGGGCGUGCAGGCGAUACGGGCAUAACUUGAGUGCUGUAGGGGAGACUGGAAUUCCUGGUGUAGCGGUGAAAUGCGCAGAUAUCAGGAGGAACACCGAUGGCGAAGGCAGGUCUCUGGGCAGUAACUGACGCUGAGGAGCGAAAGCAUGGGUAGCGAACAGGAUUAGAUACCCUGGUAGUCCAUGCCGUAAACGGUGGGCGCUAGGUGUGGGGGUCUUCCACGACUUCUGUGCCGUAGCUAACGCAUUAAGCGCCCCGCCUGGGGAGUACGGCCGCAAGGCUAAAACUCAAAGGAAUUGACGG
rnacentral:rRNA from 1 species